GACGUAGGGGGGCGAGCGUUGUCCGGAUUUAUUGGGCGUAAAGCGCGCGUAGGCGGUCCGGUAAGUCGGGUGUGAAAAUCCGGGGCUCAACCCCGGACCUGCAUUCGAUACUGCCGGGCUGGAGGCAGGUAGGGGAGAGUGGAAUUCCUGGUGUAGCGGUGAAAUGCGCAGAUAUCAGGAGGAACACCGGUGGCGAAGGCGGUUCUCUGGGCAGUGUCCUGACGCUGAGGAGCGAAAGUGUGGGGAGCGAACAGG
rnacentral:rRNA from 1 species